CGGUUGAUCCUGUUCAAUAGUCAUAUGCUUGUCUCAAAGAUUAAGCCAUGCAUGUCUAAGUAUAAACAAAUUUGUACUGUGAAACUGCGAAUGGCUCAUUAAAUCAGUUAUAGUUUAUUUGAUGAUGACUUGCUACAUGGAUAACUGUGGUAAUUCUAGAGCUAAUACAUGCAAUCAAGCCCCGACUUCUGGGAGGGGUGUAUUUAUUAUAUAAAAAACCAACGCGGUUCGCCGCUCCAUUGGUGAUUCAUAAUAACUUCUCGAAUCGCACGGCCUUGUGCUGGCGAUGCUUCAUUCAAAUAUCUGCCCUAUCAACUUUCGAUGGUAGGAUAGUGGCCUACCAUGGUUUCAACGGGUAACGGGGAAUAAGGGUUCGAUUCCGGAGAGGGAGCCUGAGAAACGGCUACCACAUCCAAGGAAGGCAGCAGGCGCGCAAAUUACCCAAUCCCGACACGGGGAGGUAGUGACAAUAAAUAACAAUAUAGGGCUCUUUCGGGUCUUAUAAUUGGAAUGAAUACAAUUUAAAUCCCUUAACGAGGAACAAUUGGAGGGCAAGUCUGGU
rnacentral:rRNA from 1 species